rnacentral:tRNA from 4 species
UGGGCGCGUAGCUCAGUGGAUAGAGCAAUUGCCUUCUAAGCAAUCGGCCGCAGGUUCGAACCCUGCCGCGCUCGU